CUAGCUACAGGCUUAACACAUGCAAGUCGAGGGGCAGCAUUUUAGUUUGCUUGCAAACUGAAGAUGGCGACCGGCGCACGGGUGAGUAACACGUAUCCAACCUGCCGAUAACUCCGGAAUAGCCUUUCGAAAGAAAGAUUAAUACCGGAUAGCAUACGAAUAUCGCAGGAUAUUUUUAUUAAAGAAUUUCGGUUAUCGAUGGGGAUGCGUUCCAUUAGUUUGUUGGCGGGGUAACGGCCCACCAAGACUACGAUGGAUAGGGGUUCUGAGAGGAAGGUCCCCCACAUCGGAACUGAGACACGGUCCAAACUCCUACGGGAGGCAGCAGUGAGGAAUAUUGGUCAAUGGGCGAGAGCCUGAACCAGCCAAGUAGCGUGAAGGAUGAAGGCUCUAUGGGUCGUAAACUUCUUUUAUAUGGGAAUAAAGUUUUCCACGUGUGGAAUUUUGUAUGUACCAUAUGAAUAAGGAUCGGCUAACUCCGUGCCAGCAGCCGCGGUAAUACGGAGGAUCCGAGCGUUAUCCGGAUUUAUUGGGUUUAAAGGGAGCGUAGGUGGAUUGUUAAGUCAGUUGUGAAAGUUUGCGGCUCAACCGUAAAAUUGCAGUUGAAACUGGCAGUCUUGAGUACAGUAGAGGUGGGCGGAAUUCGUGGUGUAGCGGUGAAAUGCUUAGAUAUCACGAAGAACUCCGAUUGCGAAGGCAGCUCACUAGACUGUCACUGACACUGAUGCUCGAAAGCGUGGGUAUCAAACAGGAUUAGAUACCCUGGUAGUCCACACAGUAAACGAUGAAUACUCGCUGUUUGCGAUAUACAGUAAGCGGCCAAGCGAAAGCAUUAAGUAUUCCACCUGGGGAGUACGCCGGCAACGGUGAAACUCAAAGGAAUUGACGGGGGCCCGCACAAGCGGAGGAACAUGUGGUUUAAUUCGAUGAUACGCGAGGAACCUUACCCGGGCUUAAAUUGCAACAGAAUAUAUUGGAAACAGUAUAGCCGUAAGGCUGUUGUGAAGGUGCUGCAUGGUUGUCGUCAGCUCGUGCCGUGAGGUGUCGGCUUAAGUGCCAUAACGAGCGCAACCCUUAUCUUUAGUUACUAACAGGUCAUGCUGAGGACUCUAGAGAGACUGCCGUCGUAAGAUGUGAGGAAGGUGGGGAUGACGUCAAAUCAGCACGGCCCUUACGUCCGGGGCUACACACGUGUUACAAUGGGGGGUACAGAAGGCGGCUACCUGGUGACAGGAUGCUAAUCCCAAAAACCUCUCUCAGUUCGGAUCGAAGUCUGCAACCCGACUUCGUGAAGCUGGAUUCGCUAGUAAUCGCGCAUCAGCCAUGGCGCGGUGAAUACGUUCCCGGGCCUUGUACACACCGCCCGUCAAGCCAUGAAAGCCGGGGGUACCUGAAGUACGUAACCGCAAGGAGCGUCCUAGGGUAAAACUGGUAAUUGGGGCUAAGUCGU
rnacentral:rRNA from 1 species